UAUCACUUAAAUGUCAGAGGCAUGGUGAAUGCAAUUACUACAUCAGAAAGUAAAGCCAGAAUGGGAAUGCUGGGACCCUGACAGAGAUCUGUGGCAAUAGCUAAUAGACCUCAGUGCUUCUAGAGGGCACAAUAGGUGAUAAGUUUGAAAGCUGACAAUAGGCCACUGUUGCACUACAGCCAAUCUCAGAGAAGGCUCUGGAAGAUUGUAUGAAGAGGAAAUCUUGUGCGGUUCACUUGACCACCAGCCUUCUGUGAUGAACGAAAUGCUGCCUCCUAUUCCACCUUCAGAUCUAACUUCCUUGGUAGACACUCUCCGAUCCCCCAAACGAAUGCUGGUUGUUGAUGUUUGUGCCUACUUUAAGAGCAAUGAAAACCUCUGAAAAAGAGCUGGACUUGAGAGAAGACCUUACUAUUGAUUGGCAUGUAGAUGGUAAUGGAGAAUAAGGGGAAAUGACAGCAUAGUACCAAGCCCAAUAGGGAAGAUAACCUCCCUGAAAGAAAUUAAGAAAGAACAACCUGAACUGUAGGGAGAAACAAAGGAGAAGAAUAUGGUGUCCCCAAACCAAGAGAAAAGAAAAUUUUGAAAAAAAAAUGUUUUUGACUGUGUUGAGAGUUGAAGAGGAAAUCAUUUAACAUAUGGCCAAAGAAAAUGUCCAUUUGACUUAGCAACAGGAGUAUUUGCACCAACAGAAAUCAGUAAAUGCCCAAAUCAAGGCUUUCUUUAUUGUUUUAUUAAUUAUCUAGGCUUAAGAAAGUGAUAUUGAAAUGCUAAUAAUGCAUAUUAAACUUAAGAAUUUGUCAGUGUCUGUAGCCGUUAUAUUAUGAAUAAUACAAAAAAAUCUGUGCAUAUUCUUACAAUAUUGGAAAAUUGUCCUAUUCAACAAAGAAGUUGUUCACAUCAUUAACUCUUGAAUGUUUCAACACACAUGCUCAUUGUUGUUUUACUUUCAUCUUAUUCACUAGUAGCAAUUGAAAAAUAUUAAUCAACAUUCUUGUGGGCAAUCUAUUUUUUCAUCAAAUGCAACCACUGGUUAAUUAUGGAUACACAAAAAGCACAAAUCAGUGAAAGCAUUCUCUGAGAAUCAGCAGCUGUAGAGAAUUUACAACAAAGAAUAUUGAAUAUUUUAUUAUUAUGUACAAACAGUGGGUUCCACAUUCUUUAUGUCAAUAAAUUUUACAAUAAAAUUUACAAUAAACUUAUAUAGGUAUAUAUGCAUGCAUUUUUUUCAGUUGUUACACAUUUACCAGCAUGCCACUGUCCCUAACCAUACCAAUAAUCAGCAUAAAGCAACGC